ensembl:snRNA U6 U6 spliceosomal RNA
GUUUUUGCCUUGACAACAUAAACACGAAAGUUGGAAUUAUACAGAGAAGAUGAUCAUGGUCCCUGGGCAGGGAUAACACACAAAUUUUUGUAGCCUUUCAUGUUUUC